rnacentral:rRNA from 1 species
UACGAAGGGGGCUAGCGUUGCUCGGAAUCACUGGGCGUAAAGCGCACGUAGGCGGCUUCUUAAGUCAGGGGUGAAAUCCUGGAGCUCAACUCCAGAACUGCCUUUGAUACUGGGAGGCUCGAGUCCGGGAGAGGUGAGUGGAACUGCGAGUGUAGAGGUGAAAUUCGUAGAUAUUCGCAAGAACACCAGUGGCGAAGGCGGCUCACUGGCCCGAUACUGACGCUGAUACGCGAAAGCGUGGGGAGCGAACCGG